ensembl:lncRNA
CACCUGUUGUGAUUGCAGGUACUGUCACUCAGUGCUGAUCACUGAGCAACUUCACCUGCAGUGGAUAGCAGCUGAGCUGUUUUCUUUUGGGAGCCUGCAGGGAAACUAUGAGACCUGCAGAAAAAGCCUCACCAAAACUGACACCUUCCUGAAAAACCUCUGACUAGUGAAGCAGCCUGUUUCCUGUAUGAUAAAUGAAUAGUAUGUCCUAACCAGCCCUAAUGCGCAGGAUAUGGCUGGAUGACUGAGAGAGAAAACUAGAACAGCACUGCUCGCUCCUACUUACUCAAGGCCAUCCUGACAGUGAUGUGUGCCUUCUUGAAAGUGCGGUUUGAUGGACCCAUGGUCUGUAGGCAGUACAACCUUUAAUAUUUCAUUUACU